rnacentral:tRNA from 1 species
GAAGUAUGUCGGUCAAGAGAAAGCUGCUAACUUUUUUCUUAAAUGGUUUGACUCCAUUUAUACUUUG